rnacentral:rRNA from 1 species
CCUGGUAGUCCCCACGGUAAACGAUGAAUGCUAGGUGUAGGGGGUAUCGACCCUUCUGUGCCGGAGUAAACACAAUAAGCAUUCCGCCUGGGGAGUACGGCCGCAAGGUUGAAACUCAAAGGAAUUGACGGGGGCCCGCACAAGCAGCGGAGCAUGUGGUUUAAUUCGAAGCAACGCGAAGAACCUUACCAGGUCUUGACAUCCAGGUAAAGCGGUAGAGAUACCGUGUGUGCUUGCACAAUCUGAGACAGGUGGUGCAUGGUUGUCGUCAGCUCGUGUCGUGAGAUGUUGGGUUAAGUCCCGCAACGAGCGCAACCCUUAUUUUUAGUUACUAACGCGUAAAGGCGAGGACUCUAAAGAGACUGCCGGGGACAACUCGGAGGAAGGUGGGGACGACGUCAAAUCAUCAUGCCCCUUAUGACCUGGGCUACACACGUGCUACAAUGGCCGUUAACAGAGGGAAGCAAGACCGCGAGGUGGAGCAAAACCCUAAAAACGGUCUCAGUUCAGAUUGCAGGCUGCAACCCGCCUGCAUGAAGGUGGAAUUGCUAGUAAUCGCGGAUCAUAAUGUCGCGGUGAAUACGUUCCCGGGCCUUGUACACACCGCCCGUCACACCAUGGGAGCCGGUAAUACCCGAAGUCAGUAGCCUAACCGCAAGGAGGGCGCUGCCGAAGGUGGGGUCGAUGAUUGGGGUG